rnacentral:lncRNA from 1 species
GGGCAACCGGGUGCCACAGGGCAACCAGGCCCCAAGGUAUGGGAUGGGUGGGCAGUCAAGGCCCCCCAUGCCUCAGGCUCAGCCAGUCCCUCCCAGUUCUUCCCAGUUGAGUUUGUUCUGGGGCCUGAGUCUCAUUCACUCUGUCCUAGGGCGAUGUGGGCCAGGACGGGGCCCCCGGGAUCCCUGGAGAAAAGGGCCUCCCUGGUCUGCAAGGCCCUCCAGGAUUCCCUGGGCCAAAGGGCCCCCCUGGUCACCAAGGUAAAGAUGGGCGACCAGGGCACCCUGGACAGAGAGGAG